rnacentral:rRNA from 1 species
AUUGAACGCUGGCGGAAUGCUUUACACAUGCAAGUCGAGGGGCAACACGGGUAGCAAUACCUGGUGGCGACCGGCGCAAGGGUGCGUAACGCGUGAGCAACAUGCCCUAUACAGGGGGAUAAUCCAGGGAAACUUGGUCUAAUAUCCCAUAGUAUUUAGAGGUGGCAUCACCACUAAAUUAAAGCUUCGGUGGUAUAGGAUUGGCUCGCGUGACAUUAGCUGGAUGGUGGGGUAACGGCUCACCAUGGCGAUGAUGUCUAGGGGUUCUGAGAGGAAGACCCCCCAACUGGGACUGAGACACGGCCCAGACUCCUACGGGAGGCAGCAGUGAGGAAUAUUGGACAAUGGAUGGAAAUCUGAUCCAGCCAUGCCGCGUGCAGGAAGACGGCCCUAAUGGGUUGUAAACUGCUUUUAUAUGGGACAAUAAGGUUUACGGUAGACCGAUGAGAGUACCAUAUGAAUAAGCAUCGGCU